rnacentral:rRNA from 1 species
GUGGGGAAUUUUGGACAAUGGGCGAAAGCCUGAUCCAGCCAUGCCGCGUGCAGGAUGAAGGCCUUCGGGUUGUAAACUGCUUUUGUAUGGAACGAAAAGACUCUGGUUAAUACCUGGGGUCCAUGACGGUACCGUAAGAAUAAGCACCGGCUAACUACGUGCCAGCAGCCGCGGUAAUACGUAGGGUGCAAGCGUUAAUCGGAAUUACUGGGCGUAAAGCGUGCGCAGGCGGUUAUAUAAGACAGAUGUGAAAUCCCCGGGCUCAACCUGGGAACUGCAUUUGUGACUUUAUAGCUAGAGUACGGCAGAGAGGGAUGGAAUUCCGCGUGUAGCAGUGAAAUGCGUAGAUAUGCGGAGGAACACCGAUGGCGAAGGCAAUCCCCUGGGCCUGCACUGACGCUCAUGCACGAAAGCGUGGGGAGCAAACAGGAUUAGAAACCCCUGUAGUCC